UACGUAGGGGGCAAGCGUUGUCCGGAAUCAUUGGGCGUAAAGCGCGCGUAGGCGGCCCGGUAAGUCCGCUGUAAAAGUCCAGGGCUCAACCCUGGAAAGCCGGUGGAUACUGUCGGGCUAGAGUCCGGAAGAGGCGAGUGGAAUUCCUGGUGUAGCGGUGAAAUGCGCAGAUAUCAGGAGGAACACCAAUUGCGAAGGCAGCUCGCUGGGACGUUACUGACGCUGAGACGCGAAAGCG
rnacentral:rRNA from 1 species